AUUGAACGCUGGCGGCAGGCUUAACACAUGCAAGUCGAGCGGGGGAAGGUAGCUUGCUACCGGACCUAGCGGCGGACGGGUGAGUAAUGCUUAGGAAUCUGCCUAUUAGUGGGGGACAACAUCUCGAAAGGGAUGCUAAUACGGAAUACGUCCUACGGGAGAAAGCAGGGGAUUUUGGGACCUUCGGUUAUUGGAUGAGCUGAAGUCGGAUUAGCACGUUGGUGGGGUAAAGGCCUACCAAGGCGACGAUCUGUAGCGGGUCUGAGAGGAUGAUCCGCCACACUGGGACUGAGACACGGCCCAGACUCCUACGGGAGGCAGCAGUGGGGAAUAUUGGACAAUGGGGGGAACCCUGAUCCAGCCAUGCCGCGUGUGUGAAGAAGGCCUUAUGGUUGUAAAGCACUUUAAGCGAGGAGGAGGCUACUUUAGUUAAUACCUGGAGAUAGUGGACGUUACUCGCAGAAUAAGCACCGGCUAACUCUGUGCCAGCCGCCGCCGUAA
rnacentral:rRNA from 1 species